rnacentral:rRNA from 1 species
GAUGAACGCUGGCUACAGGCUUAACACAUGCAAGUCGAGGGGAAACGACGGGGAAGCUUGCUUCCCCGGGCGUCGACCGGCGCACGGGUGAGUAACGCGUAUCCAACCUGCCUCUGACUGAGGGAUAACCCGUCGAAAGUCGGCCUAAUACCUCAUGGCAUCGUCUGCGGGCAUCCAACGACGAUUAAAGAUUUCAUCGGUCAGGGAUGGGGAUGCGUCUGAUUAGCUAGUUGGCGGGGUAACGGCCCACCAAGGCGACGAUCAGUAGGGGUUCUGAGAGGAAGGUCCCCCACAUUGGAACUGAGACACGGUCCACACUCCUACGGGAGGCAGCAGUGAGGAAUAUUGAUCAAUGGGCGAGAGCCUGAACCAGCCAAGUAGCGUGCAGGAUGACGGCCCUAUGGGUUGUAAACUGCUUUUAUGCGGGGAUAAAGUGAGGGACGUGUCCUUCAUUGCAGGUACCGCAUGAAUAAGGACCGGCUAAUUCCGUG